ACGCACGCUGGCGGCGUGCUUCACCCCUGCAAGUCGCACGGAAAGGCCUCUUUCGGGGGGUACUCGAGUGGCGAACGGGUGAGUAACACGUGAGUAACCUGCCCUUGACUUUGGGAUAACUUCAGGAAACUGGGGCUAAUACCGGAUAGGAGCUCCUGCUGCAUGGUGGGGGUUGGAAAGUUUCGGCGGUUGGGGAUGGACUCGCGGCUUACCAGCUUGUUGGUGGGGUAGUGGCUUACCAAGGCUUUGACGGGUAGCCGGCCUGAGAGGGUGACCGGCCACAUUGGGACUGAGAGACGGCCCAGACUCCUACGGGAGGCAGCAGUGGGGAAUAUUGCACAAUGGGUGGAAGCCUGAUGCAGCAACGCCGUGUGCGGGAUGACGGCCUUCGGGUUGUAAACCGCUUUCGCUCAUGACGAAGCUUUGUGUGACGGUAGUGGGUAAAGAAGCACCGGCUAACUACGUG
rnacentral:rRNA from 1 species